CUUCUGCUUUCUUCACCUCCUCUGAAAUUUCAGUUUUCCGAUGAAAUAUGCAAAUAGAAAGGCACAUAAAAUGGGAUAUAUGGCAACAAUUACAGCCACAAGACCAAUUCUGUCAUGGUGAAACCCGAAAUAGUCUUCUAAGAAAGAGCACUACUCCCAUCAGCACAGCUGAAACGGUUGCAAAAGAUAAGCACUUGAAGUUGUAUGAUGGACUUCUCCAAUAUGACAGGUUUUGUUUCCACAGGCAUGCUUUGUACUGCUCCCAUCCGUUUCGUGGAAACUGAGUAGGAAAAUGCAGUUCUCUUGAACUUCCCUGUGGCUCUCUCAGUACUUUGAUUUGUUCUAUGUUCUCUCUGCAUUGAAACAUAAAUUAUCAGUUGUAUUUUAACUUUUUUUUGAUGGCCUACUUUUGCUACUAUGAUGUGCAAAUACUAUCUACAAGUUAUUUAUCACUUACUUGUACAGCUGAGAUUCCUUGUAAACUUGUGCAAAAUCUAAACCAAGCUGUUCCUCUAUGGAUCCCAUAGUAAUUUCUAACAUCCAUGUUGCUGGAUUGUAGUUCUUUUUAAUCACUGGAACUCCAGGAAUGCUCUGCGAAACGUAUGGUGCAUAGUCACAUAAAUUUUUAGUAUUUUUUAAUUGUAUAUGUGAUGCUUGUUUUGUGUUAAAUCGAUAUGUCAUGCUAUAGCCAUGAUGUUAGAUAAUGGAUGAAACAUAUAGUCAUGGCCAGUGGUAAUACAAUUGUCAUAAUCUGCUAGCUUUACCUCAAAAUAGUCGAUAAGCUUGCAUGAAUGCUGACCCAGUGGUCCUGAGUAAACUAUUUGUCCUCCCUUUUUCAUCAGAAUCAACUGCACAGAUUAAUUUAGUAUUCAACUCAGAGUUCUUCCAUGUGAAACUGCUCUUAACCUUUUCACAUUCUGUAUCCUACAAGUUCAUAGUAUAGUCCUACCUCAUCAAAUGCCUCAAAAAUGUCGAUGCUUGGUUGGUGGAUGGUGCAUACCACUGUUCUUCCGGUGUCAGCAACAUUUUUCACUGCACGCAUAACAAUGGCAGCUGCUCUAGCAUCCAGACCAGAUGUUGGUUCGUCCAUGAAUAUGAUUGACGGAUUAGAAACAAGUUCCACUGCGAUGGUUAGCCUCUUUCUUUGUUCAUUUGAUAGACCGCUUACUCCAGGAACUCCAACCAAACUAUUUUUAAUCCCAUCAAGUUCAACUAAUGUGAGCACAUCCCGGACAAAGUCCUGCAUAGUCAGGAUCACUUACAGUUGCGCUAAUAUGUGAUGGUAGCCUUAACCAAGAAGAGAAGAGUACUGAUUCUUCAACUGUGAUCUGAGGAGAAUGAAUGUCAGAUUGUUCGCAGUAACCUGAAAUCCUAGCAAAGGUUUGUUGAACCUUGGGGAAUCCUCCAACCCGGAUAACCCCUUCAAUAUGUUUGCUGUCUUUUCUUCCAGAGAGUAUAUCCAUCAGAGUUGUCUUUCCUGCUCCACUUUCUCCCAUCAAAGCUGUUAAAACACCUGGUUUAAAUGCUCCCGUCAUGUCAUGUAGAAGCUGAAGCCUUGUCUCCUGUUGAAUAAUUACCGCUGGAGUCUCAACAUAAUAGCGGACAUUCUCAAAUGUUAGUGUCAGGGGCUCAAAAGGUAAGACCACUUUACUGCCUUCUUGGAUCACUGGAAGAGUUUCACAGUACAAAAAAGUGGCAUUAUUUACUUGGCAAAAAUGGUAUCUUCAUACUUUGUUUUUGGCUCGUCUUCUGUUCAUCUGAAAUAGGCAGGGGAUAUAGAUGACUAACCUUCAAUUGAUAUGUUAUGCAACUGAGGUGUCGUUGUGGUUGAUCUUUCAUUAUUAUCAUCCUUAUCAUUACAUUGAUCUUCUUGCAGUUGCUGAAGUUUUUCGUAUGAUAUAACAGCCUGAGAUGCUCCUGGAGCUGAUUUUAAACAAAGGUUUAAUUUGUUGAGGAAGUCAGCAACACCCUUUCUUUCUGGGCACUGGAAACCACACGCAUGAAAGAAUUCGAGGGUAUCAACUCGAGGUCCAUGGUAAACUACUUUGCCUUCUGCAUACAAGAUUAUAUCAUCGAAAAGAUCAAAAGUUUCCGGGGCAGGCUGUAGUAGUGAUAUCAAUGCAGUGACAUUUGUGAUGUGGACCAAUUGCUGAAGGCAGCUUAUAAUCUGAAAUGUUGUCGAGGUGUCCAAACCAUUUGAGAUUUCAUCCAUAAACAACACCCUUUUUGGACUGACAAUCAUUUCUCCUGCGACAGAAAUUUGCACAUCCAUAAAAGUUCAUUUAUUGACUCAGUUGUACUUGUUUAAAGUUACUGAAUUACUGACCAGUUGCUAGUCUCCUCUUCUGACCACCUGAUAUGCCUCGUCUUAUCGCAUCACCAACAGGAGUAUCAGCGCAAACGUCUAGUCCCAGUAUCUGAAGGACAACAACAAUAUAUAUAGGAAUUGUUCUGUGGUUCACUUAACAUUGUGUUCGAUCUAUAUCUUUGAAUAUUGAUCAAGUUACCUUCAUUGUGUAAUCUGUUUGAAGUGUUCUCUCUAAUCCACUGACUGAUAUCGCCUGUCCAACGCGAGGCCAUAUAUCAAGAAAAAGAAAUAUUACCUUGAGUCGGAUAUUUACAUCUAAAUUAUAUGUUACCUUCAUAUAUGUAUCAAUUUCUGAUUCAGGAACAAUUCCUGCUUGCUUCUCCCUUCUACUAAUUUCAGCCAUCAUUUCUAUACAUUUAACAGAUACGUGUUAAUUUAAUACGAUGGAGCUGGAAAUUUAGGACCAUGUUCAAUUUACCUUUUCUGCUUUCGACGCCUUGACAACGGGCAGAAAAAUCAAUUGUCUCUCUUACUGUCAUCUCAGGAGUAUGCAAGUCAUACUGGCUUAUGUAAGCUGAUAUCUUCUGAGAAUUGAGAUCGUCUAACUUGCACUCAUUGUAAGAAACCUCCCCGCUUACCUGA